rnacentral:rRNA from 1 species
UACGGGGGAGCAAGCGUUGUUCGGAUUUACUGGGCGUAAAGGGCGCGUAGGCGGCCACCGCAAGUCGACUGUGAAAUCUCCGGGCUUAACCCGGAAAGGUCAGCCGAUACUGCGGGGCUAGAGUGCAGAAGGGGCAACUGGAAUUCUCGGUGUAGCGGUGAAAUGCGUAGAUAUCGAGAGGAACACCUGCGGCGAAGGCGGGUUGCUGGGCUGACACUGACGCUGAGGCGCGAAAGCUAGGGGAGCGAACAGG